rnacentral:lncRNA from 1 species
GUUAAUUAAUAAUAAUAAUAUGUAAGAUGCGUGACAAUCAUCAAUGAAUAUCCAGUAUAAAAUGGUAUGCAAUACAAAGGAAUGGCUAAACACGUUUCAAUGGCUAAACAGCAUUUUCUGUCAAGUCUUCUGAUUUUUUAUGACUAUCUUUCACACAGAGUAAGCGAAGCUUUUCACAGCGAAGGGCCAUAAAACCCUGGCUAACAGAAUAACCCUUUCAAUGCUGGCUAGACCUCCUAAGUACUUAAGAUCUAUUCUUAUGUAAUUUUAAAUAAAAUAACAUUUAAACCAGUUCAUUAGUCAUUUCCUGGAACCAUCCAAUAAGAGAAUCUACCAUAUUAUAUAAGCAGAGUUUAAUUUGUCUAAAAGAUAUCUUAUCUUAAAUUAGAGCAAAUAAAUACACCUGGAUAACAACAACGGUAUGCUAACACGUGAUAAUAUCACAUUAAUAUAUAAUUAUUCUUAAUUCCACCUGCAGAAUGUUUAUAACUAUAUAUUCUUUAGUUAACUAAGAUUUCUUAAUAUGGAAAUCUGGAAUGUUUAUAACUAUAUAUUCUUUAGUUAACUAAGAUUUCUUAAUAUGGAAAUCUGACCGUGCUUUAUCCAGUCAUAUAUAAUGCUAUUAAAGGACCACUCUAGGUGUUUUGGAUCAAAGAAAACUUUGAUAAUUUGUCUAUCUACACCUUCCAAAUUGAUUGAUUAAUGCGUGCACGCUUUCCCUAGAAGUAAUUCACACCGGAGACAAAGUUUCUGAUCAGUGAAAAACCCAGGAAUGCUUUAUUCCCCGGAGUGGGGGCUCCUUCUUAAAGCAAAAAUACGUCACAGUUUAAACAUACAGUAUACAUUCACCAAUUGGUUAACAGUCUAAGGGUUCUUGUCUAAACCCCCCUACAGGAUGUAGUGUCAUCAUUACAGACUUCUGGAUACACAAUGGGAGGGGGAGUGAGUAGUUUCUUUCAGUUCUAAAACAGUGAUUCUCCAUUUUGUUAUACGUGGCAUAUAGCUGUUAACUGGCACAAAGGUAGUGGGGGAGGAGUUAGUAAAGGGAGUUGUUAUCACAGGAAUUUUGGUUACACAAGGUUUUAUUGAUUUGAAGGGGGGAGGCUAGCAGGAUGUGAGGAAUUUACAUAGUAAACAGCAGCUGAACACAUUGUAGGGGGGGAAGGGAAUAUUUACUCUAGAAGCCAGUUUUAACAUAGUGAACAGAGAAUAAAUAGACAUUAGUAAAUAGCCAUUUUAUUUUAAUUCAUCUGUCCAUAACAUAGGCACCCAGACCACUUCAGCUUAAUGAAGUGGUCUGGGUGCCAGGUCCUUCUAGGGUUAACCCAUUUUUUUUAUAAACAUAGCAGUUUCAGAGAAACUGCUAUGUUUAUUAAUGGGUUAAGCCUUCCCCCUAAUCCUCUAGUGGCUGUCUCAUUGACAGCCACUAGAGGCGCUUGCGUGCUUCUCACUGUGAUUUUCACAGUGAGAGCACGCAAGCGUCCAUAGGAAAGCAUUGUAAAUGCUUUCCUAUGCGACCGGCUGAAUGCGCGCGCAGCUCUUGCAUUCAGCCGAUGGGGCGGAACGGAGGAGGAGAGAAGGAGGAGAGCUCCCUGCCCAGCGCUGGAAAAAGGUAAGUUUAAACCCCUUUCCCCUUUCCAGAGCCGGGCGGGAGGGAGUCCCUGAGGGUGGGGGCACCCUCAGGGCACUAUAGUGCCAGGAAAACGAGUAUGUUUUCCUGGCACUAUAGUGGUCCUUUAAUACAUUUUAAUUAAUUUAAUUAAUUAAUUAAAUGAAACCAGUAUAAUUACCAGUUGAGUAGAUAUUUCAUCCGAUUGGUAGAUAGUCUCAGGAACUUAUUUGGAUGUCUGUCUGUAUUGAGUUAUGGUGAAAGAUGGUGUUGGUUAGAAAGUCAGUAAAAUUCUAAGUGUUAGAGUUUUAAGAGUAGAGUGUUAGUCUCAGAUGUUGUCCGAGUUGGAGUCCCCCAAACUUCCAAUUCCUCUCUCCUCUUUUUCCUUCUCCUUUACAUCUCUCAAUCUUCCCUUUGUCCUAACUUUUAAAGGGCCAGACUCUCUGUACGUCAUCAGUUGAUAACCCAAUAGAAGCACUAGAGGUGUGGUUAUCUUCCAGAUCGCAAAUUAGUUAUUUGGUCUAUAGAGGGCAGUCUUGUCCCACUAAACAUACCUAUCCAGGAAAGAGUUAACUUUUCCUGGUGGCUAUUUUGACGUCAUUUUGCGUUAUCUUUAUAGUGCCAUAAUUUAAAAUUUCAAAGGGUUUCUUUAAGUUUUGUCCAGACUAUGUGUCUGCAAAUCUGAGUUUUGACCCGUAACUUACAAUGGGACCUUAUAGAUAUAGACAGUAAAAUUAAAUUAUUUAAUCUUCUCUGUCACAAUUGUCUGGGUUUAGAUUUGAUCUAUUCCAUUAGCAUUAGACAGUCUAUCCAACACCCGUUCUUCUUAUCACUUGGUUUGUACUAUGCAUUCCUUUAGCUCUGGCAAAGUGGUUAGUUUUACAGAAAGAAAUCUUGUGUCUUUUUGUUAACUUGAAAAUAACAAAAUGGAGUCUGGUCUGUUCAAAGUGACUCAGAAUAUACACUUUUAAUUUCUCUCAUAGCACAAAAUGUCUGCCGAUAUAAAUACCCUGACACCAUGCACACCGUCAACCCUCAACACGCAGGCACCCACCUGCUCUUUUACACUCACCCUGCCACAGUUACCCCUUUACUCACCCUGUCACCCCCCCAAAGGCAAUCAUUAUACACACCGUCAUAAAACAUAGCUUCGCCAUAAACUCAGUGCCAAAGGCCAGUCAGUACACAAACAUACACAUGCUCAGAGAAACAUACAUACAGAUACAAGAAUACUCACUGUCAGAUACACACACUCAGGUAGACAAUGCAAUGAUGUAAACAGAGACUAGCUCUGUGUAUCCAGUGCUGCAAGCUCCACCAGGGACGUUUUAGCCACGAGGCAAACAAGGCAUUUGCCCUGGGCAUUUAGGGGCGGCUUUUUUUGCCGCCCCCAAAUGCCCAGGGCAAAUGCCUUGUUAGUCUUGUGGCUAACUGACAUGCUGGGCUGGCGGGCGGCAUGGCGAGGG